UGGCUACAUGCUCUCCCCGUGAUGGGGCCGGAGCUGGGCUGGGGACACCCCCGCGGCGGCGACGUCUGCUCCUCUGAUUCCUUCAACGAGGACAACACUGCCUUCGCCAAGCAGGUUCGCUCUGAGAGGCCCUUCUUCUCCUCCAACCCAGAACUGGACAAUCUGAUGAUCCAGGCAAUCCAAGUGCUGCGGUUCCACCUGCUAGAGCUGGAGAAGGGAAAGAUGCCCAUCGACCUGGUCAUCGAGGAUCGGGAUGGCGGCUGCAGGGAGGACUUCGAGGACUACCCAGCCUCCUGCCCCAGCCUCCCAGACCAGAAUAAUAUAUGGAUUCGAGACCAUGAGGAUAGCGGGUCUGUACAUUUGGGGACCCCAGGUCCAUCCAGCGGGGGGCUGGCCUCCCAGAGUGGGGACAACUCCAGUGACCAAGGAGUCGGGCUGGACACCAGCGUGGCCUCUCCCAGUUCUGGUGGAGAAGAUGAGGACUUGGACCAGGAGCCACGGCGAAACAAGAAGAGGGGGAUCUUCCCCAAGGUGGCCACCAACAUCAUGCGAGCCUGGUUGUUCCAGCACCUCUCACACCCGUACCCCUCGGAGGAGCAGAAGAAACAGCUGGCGCAGGACACGGGGCUUACCAUCCUGCAAGUCAACAACUGGUUCAUUAAUGCCCGGAGACGCAUCGUGCAACCUAUGAUCGAUCAAUCCAACCGCACAGGGCAGGGUGCAGCCUUCAGCCCAGAGGGCCAGCCCAUCGGGGGCUAUACCGAGACAGAGCCACACGUGGCCUUCCGGGCUCCAGCAUCAGUGGGGAUGAGUUUGAACUCGGAAGGAGAAUGGCAUUAUCUAUAGAGGCUGAUGCGGGAGAGACCCAGCCUCCGGCUGUGACCCCCAGCCUCACACCUGGCUCUGGUUCCCGCCUGGUCCUCUGGCUUCAGGAUCCCACCUCCAAAGGCCUCUCCGCUCAACGCCUACCUCCCUAGGGCCCUGCUGGGACAUGGGGGCCUGAGUGCCCACCCAAGGGGCUCUCAAGGACACCGGCAAGGCCUCCAGGCUCUGAGCCCCGCUUCUGCCUUCACCUCUGCCUGGGACCCGAGCUGGGCUCCUGGGCCUUGGUCCCCAGAAGAUGGCAGCUAGGGCCUCGCCGCGAGGACAGAGAAGGGACAGGGUGGCUGGGCAGUCAGGGAAGGAGGGUCGCCCGGAUCCGACAUUUUGGAGAGAUUCUUUCACCCUCCUGUCCCCCCCACCUCCCUUCUCUAAUUUCUUCUUUUUUUAAUGAUAAAGUCUUAAAACACAGAAAAAAAAAAGACUUCAGAGAAUUAGGUAGAUGAAGCACUUUAUACAGUAUAUAUCUUCAGCUUAAAUUUGUUUUGAGUAUUUUUUUUAUUUUUAAGUAGGCAAAGAUUUAAAAUUUUUUAUUUUUAGUAAAUGUUUGAAGCAAACUAAAAAGACGUGGGCAAUAUUUACCAAAACAAAACAGAACCCAAAAAAUUGUACAUCUUGAUCUUAGCAAAUAUCCUUAUUGUAGAGACACUUAAUAAAGAGAUGGUAUUUUAAUAUCUGCAGUUCUGAGGUAGGGUGUAACUUAGUUCUACAUUGUGAUUUAGGAAUUUUUAAACCUUUCUUCUUCAGGGGAGAAGUGACCCAGGCCUCGAGUUUAGUGCUAAAGCCACUAGUGUACUUAUGCUGUCACCUAACCACCACAUGCGACAUGGAGGCAGAGGCUAAAUAUAGGGGCUUUCUUAAGAAAGUGAGAGGAAAUUAGCAAGCAUUAUUAGUGUUUGACUACUGCUAUCAAGUGAAUUCAAAGGAAACAGGUUUUUAUGCCAUAUUUAAGUUACAGAAACCAGGCAUGCUUAGAAUAGUUUCUAAGGUGACAGAGUGAGACUCCAUCUCAAAAAAAAAAAAAAAAAAAAGAAUAGUUUCUAGAGGUUAUUGGAGAAUAGAAAGCUAAGAAAACUUGGUAUACAUUUACAAUUGAAAUAUAAUUACACUUUUUACUCUCAGAAUAUUAUUCAGAUUAGACUUCCUGUUUAUCUUUUAUAUUCUUGCAUUGAUAUAAUGCCUGAUCCUUCAAAGUUCUUUCACAUAUUAUAUGAUCUUCUUUAUGAAAAAAAGUAGAUGCUUUAUUCUGAUAUAUUCAGUUUCCCACUUUAGGCAAAAGUGGAUUAAUAGAAUGAUGAAUUCAAAGUAGAUGAGGAAAAUCAGGCACAGAGAAGUAAAGGUAGGUACAGACCCAAAUUCACACAAGAUAAUGACAUCACCAGCGUUUAAGUUGAUCAUCAAAGGCUGGGCUGGAUUUGUCUUGCUGUAUGUGUCAGGAAAUUUAUACCUAUUACAUUUUCCAUUUUCUCAAAAUAAGUCACAUGAUUGUAAUGUUUAGCUGCAACUUUUCUCCUAAUAAAUAGUGUCAUGAAGAAUGUUAUAGUGCGAAGUUUGUACAUUUCAGGGUCAGUUAUACAAUGUGAACUCUUUAUCUACGGGAAUGAGAAUGGAGGAUCAUUGAAGGCCAUGAUAUAAACAAAUUUGCAUGUUGAAGCCUGUAUAAAACAUGGUACAGUGAGUGAAUGCCCCCAUCCCCAAGAACACUUUAUACAUAUUAAAUGGAUAUAUGAUUACUGUGCAAAAAUUCAUUCUGGAAAUGAACAUAUAUUUGAGCACUAAUAUGUAAUGUACAUCUUCUGCCCUAAGGAGAAAAUAAAUCAUAAAACUUGUUUUACAUUCAAAAUUACUUUCCCGAGCAUGUCUUAGAGUAAUCUACGUGUUGAUGUAUGUAAAUUGUAUUUUAGGUAGGCAAAGAAACAAGUCUGGUUAUUUAUGUAAAAACUAGUCUAAUAAAGUGAGUGGCUUUAUCACUUUGAA